AAUCCCAUUUGAAAGGCUGAGGUUGCAACCGAAAAAAUCUCUGCUAAGAACGUCCUGCUGAUGAUAUGAAGUCAGUAUGAGCUGCAAAUUAGAUAUUAAAGCUUUGUCCUUGCACAUUGAAAUCUGAAUUCGAUCCUCAUAUUUGUUCUUCAGUCAAUUGGUGCGCUAUUAGUAUUUUCUAUUGUUGUAUGGCUGUGGCAGUUUCGCUAAAGAAUUGCCAAUGUAGUUUCUCUGGUAUUAUUACUCUUUUCUUUUGUUUGGUUUUUUUA
rnacentral:misc_RNA from 1 species